rnacentral:rRNA from 1 species
GAUGAACGCUGGCGGCGUGCCUAACACAUGCAAGUCGAGCGAUCUUCUUCGGAAGAGAGCGGCGGACGGGUGAGUAACGCGUGGGUAACCUGCCUCAUACACAUGGAUAACAUACCGAAAGGUAUGCUAAUACAAGAUGAUAUAAGAGAUUCGCAUGGAUUUCUUAUCAAAGCUCCGGCGGUAUGAGAUGGACCCGCGUCUGAUUAGCUAGUUGGUAAGGUAAUGGCUUACCAAGGCUUCGAUCAGUAGCCGACCUGAGAGGGUGAUCGGCCACAUUGGAACUGAGACACGGUCCAAACUCCUACGGGAGGCUG